rnacentral:rRNA from 1 species
GACGAACGCUGGCGGCGUGCUUAACACAUGCAAGUCGAACGGAAAGGCCCUGCUUUUGUGGGGUGCUCGAGUGGCGAACGGGUGAGUAACACGUGAGUAACCUGCCCUUGACUUUGGGAUAACUUCAGGAAACUGGGGCUAAUACCGGAUAGGAGCUCCUGCUGCAUGGUGGGGGUUGGAAAGUUUCGGCGGUUGGGGAUGGACUCGCGGCUUAUCAGCUUGUUGGUGGGGUAGUGGCUUACCAAGGCUUUGACGGGUAGCCGGCCUGAGAGGGUGACCGGCCACAUUGGGACUGAGAUACGGCCCAGACUCCUACGGGAGGCAGCAGUGGGGAAUAUUGCACAAUGGGCGGAAGCCUGAUGCAGCAACGCCGCGUGCGGGAUGACGGCCUUCGGGUUGUAAACCGCUUUCGCCUGUGACGAAGCGUGAGUGACGGUAAUGGGUAAAGAAGCACCGGCUAACUACGUGCCAGCAGCCGCGGUGAUACGUAGGGUGCGAGCGUUGUCCGGAUUUAUUGGGCGUAAAGGGCUCGUAGGUGGUUAAUCGCGUCGGAAGUGUAAUCUUGGGGCUUAACCCUGAGCGUGCUUUCGAUACGGGUUGACUUGAGGAAGGUAGGGGAGAAUGGAAUUCCUGGUGGAGCGGUGGAAUGCGCAGAUAUCAGGAGGAACACCAGUGGCGAAGGCGGUUCUCUGGGCCUUUCCUGACGCUGAGGAGCGAAAGCGUGGGGAGCGAACAGGCUUAGAUACCCUGGUAGUCCACGCUGUAAACGGUGGGUACUAGGUGUGGGGUCCAUUCCACGGGUUCCGUGCCGUAGCUAACGCUUUAAGUACCCCGCCUGGGGAGUACGGCCGCAAGGCUAAAACUCAAAGGAAUUGACGGGGCCCCGCACAAGCGGCGGAGCAUGCGGAUUAAUUCGAUGCAACGCGUAGAACCUUACCUGGGUUUGACAUGGAUCGGGAGUGCUCAGAGAUGGGUGUGCCUCUUUUGGGGUCGGUUCACAGGUGGUGCAUGGCUGUCGUCAGCUCGUGUCGUGAGAUGUUGGGUUAAGUCCCGCAACGAGCGCAACCCUUGUUCACUGUUGCCAGCACGUUAUGGUGGGGACUCAGUGGAGACCGCCGGGGUCAACUCGGAGGAAGGUGGGGAUGACGUCAAGUCAUCAUGCCCCUUAUGUCCAGGGCUUCACGCAUGCUGCAAUGGCUGGUACAGAGAGUGGCGAGCCUGUGAGGGUGAGCGAAUCUCGGAAAGCCGGUCUCAGUUCGGAUUGGGGUCUGCAACUCGACCUCAUGAAGUCGGAGUCGCUAGUAAUCGCAGAUCAGCAACGCUGCGGUGAAUACGUUCCCGGGGCUUGUACACACCGCCCGUCAAGUCAUGAAAGUUGGUAACACCCGAAGCCGGUGGCCUAACCGUUGUGGGGGAGCCGUCGAGGGUGGGACUGGUGAUUAGGACU